GCCGGGUGUGGUGGCUCACACCUGUAAUCCCAGCACUCUGGGAGGCUGAGGCCGGCGGAUCACCUGAGGUCAGGAGUUCAAGACCAGCCUGACCAACAUGGUGAAACCCUGUCUUUA
ensembl:misc_RNA Metazoa_SRP Metazoan signal recognition particle RNA